rnacentral:lncRNA from 1 species
GCCUCAUUCACGUUUCUAUUGUUUGCUAUGGUUGCCAGGAAACCAAAGUUCCAAGCAAGCAAAGGAAAUCACUGCACGAGUAACUAUGGAAUGCCUAUGAGCCUGCUCAUUUCUCCAAAAUGUAGUGAGUUUCAGAAAGCAAGUAGAUCUACUGGAAGGACUGGGAAAUCAAAAGCAAAUGAACAGGACUUCAUGUCAACAGAUGUUACUAGAAUUCUGUAAUGGGCAAAUGUGCUCCAUGCCAACCUAAAAAACGAGCACUGCCAAGUAAGCCUUACAUAUGGUAGAGUUUAAAAUCCCUUGCCUUUAAGGAAACCUCCUUGUCUGGACAAUCCGAAUUAAAGUUACGGAGUAUUUGGCCUGCAGGAUCUCAAUACAGAUUAAGUCAUAUCCAGCCGUUUUAUUGGCAAGAUACCUCAUUGGUAAGACAGUAAAGGUACAGAAUUCAUUCUGCCUUGAAACCUAAAGUAAACUACAAGGAAGAGUUAGCAUUAAUCCGGGUCUUGAAGAAUCCAAGUGGAUCAGCGGAGCAAAAUAAGGUGAACAAUGGCAGCCUACUCACACUACAGAAGAAAACAAUGAAUUAGAGGAAAAUAUGGGCUAUGUAAAAUAUGGUACGAAUCAUAGGCCAUCAUUACCCUAACGUGCCACACUUACAUAUUAAAACAUAACAUUUAUGAUUAUAAAUUUGCAUUCUUAAUGUUGGAACUGCUAGCACCAUCUGUGGUACAGUACAGUAGUUACCACUACUGUAAUAUUUUUUUUCUGCCUCAAUAUAUGUAUGUUCUAUGGCAAUGUUAGUAUGGUCCCUCCUCCAUUAAGAUGGAUAGACUAUUUCUGUAUUUCUUGAUUGUAAGUCUGGCUAAUUCACUUGCUAUGAUCAAUGGAACAGUAUCUGUGGAACUCAUGCGGAGACUUGAAGAGUACCUAUAUGUUAGGGUUCAACAACUUUUGCUGCUGGGAACCCUUUUGCCACCAUGUGAGCAAGCCAAGGUGGCCUCCUGCAAUGUGGGAAAUGACAGCGAGAAAGGAACCAGUCAUCCAAGCUGCCCCAGACAUCCUGCUCAGACUAUUUGCAGAUGUAGUUGUUGCAUUCAUUCAAGUUCCAGUUCUCAGCUCUCGAUCUUUCCUUCUUUCUUAUACACUGCAUAGAACUCACGUCUAAG